GGUGAGUUGACAGAGCGGCCGAAUGUGACGGUCUUGAAAACCGUUGAGUCCUCACGGGCUCCGUGGGUUCAAAUCCCACACUCACCGCCG
rnacentral:tRNA from 5 species